ACACUCGCGUCCGAACGAUCACGGCGGAGGGUUGAUUUCGCCGGAUCGGCUCAUGGACGUGGACGA